rnacentral:rRNA from 1 species
CGCACGGGUGAGUAACACGUAUCCAACCUGCCGUCUACUCUUGGACAGCCUUCUGAAAGGAAGGUUAAUACAAGAUGGCAUCAUGAGUCCGCAUGUUCACAUGAUUAAAGGUAUUCCGGUAGACGAUGGGGAUGCGUUCCAUUAGAUAGUAGGCGGGGUAACGGCCCACCUAGUCUUCGAUGGAUAGGGGUUCUGAGAGGAAGGUCCCCCACAUUGGAACUGAGACACGGUCCAA